rnacentral:rRNA from 1 species
GAACGAACGCUGGCGGCAUGCCUAACACAUGCAAGUCGAACGAGACCUUCGGGUCUAGUGGCGCACGGGUGCGUAACGCGUGGGAACCUGCCUUUAGGUUCGGAAUAACUCAGAGAAAUUUGAGCUAAUACCGGAUAAUGUCUUCGGACCAAAGAUUUAUCGCCUUUAGAUGGGCCCGCGUUGGAUUAGCUAGUUGGUGUGGUAAAGGCGCACCAAGGCGACGAUCCUUAGCUGGUCUGAGAGGAUGAUCAGCCACACUGGGACUGAGACACGGCCCAGACUCCUACGGGAGGCAGCAGUGGGGAAUAUUGGACAAUGGGCGAAAGCCUGAUCCAGCAAUGCCGCGUGAGUGAUGAAGGCCUUAGGGUUGUAAAGCUCUUUUACCCGGGAUGAUAAUGACAGUACCGGGAGAAUAAGCUCCGGCUAACUCCGUG